rnacentral:tRNA from 1 species
GCCUUCGUGGUGUAGUGGUCAGCACGCUGGGCGCGUAUUCCAGAAGUUCCGGGUUCGAGUCCCGACGAAGGCG